UGAAUACGAGACGCUACGGCGUCGAAGCAGUCUAUGUCAUACUUCCAAGAAAAGCUCGCAAUGUCAUAAACAAAUAAUGCCUGUACCAUAACCGACACAGGUGGGUAGGUAGAGUAUACUAAGGGGCGCGAGAUAACUCUCUCUAAGGAACUCGGCAAAAUGACUCCGUAACUUCGGGAGAAGGAGUGCCUUAUUUAUAAGGUUGCAAUAACAAGAUCCAAGCAACUGUUUAUCAAAAACACAGGUCUCCGCUAAGUCGUAAGACGAUGUAUGGGGGCUGACGCCUGCCCAGUGCCAGAAGGUUAAAGAAGUUGGUUAGCAUUCGCGAAGCUGAUAACUGAAGCCCUGGUGAACGGCGGCCGUAACAAUAACGGUCCUAAGGUAGCGAAAUUCCUUGUCGGGUAAGUUCCGACCCGCACGAAAGGCGUAAUGAUUUGGAUACUGUCUCGGAGAGGGGCUCGGUGAAAUAGACUUGUCUGUGUAGAUGCGGACUACCUGCACCUGGACAGAAAGACCCUAUGAAGCUUUACUGUAACUUGAAAUUGAAAUUGGACUUUAUUUGCGCAGCAUAGGUGGGAGGCGUUGAGAGUAUUCUUGCGGGAAUAUUGGAGCCAUCAGUGAGAUACCACUCUUGUAAUGUUAGAUUUCUAACUUUGGAUCAUUAUCUGGUCAGAGAACAGUUUCAGGCGGGCAGUUUGACUGGGGCGGUCGCCUCCCAAAUGGUAACGGAGGCGUACAAAGGUUUCCUCUGAACGGGUAGAAAUCGUAUCUAGAGUGUAAAGGCAUAAGGAAGCUUGACUGUGAGACCUACAAGUCGAGCAGGGACGAAAGUCGGUCUUAGUGAUCUGACGGUGCUGAGUGGAAAGGCCGUCACUCAACGGAUAAAAGUUACUCUAGGAUAACAGGCUGAUCUCCCCCAAGAGUUCACAUCGACGGGGAGGUUUGGCACCUCGAUGUCGGCUCAUCGCAUCCUGGGGCGGUAGUACGUCCCAAGGGUUGGGCUGUUCGCCCAUGAAACGGUACGCGAGCUGGGUUCAGAACGUCGUGAGACAGUUCGGUCCAUAUCCGGUGUAGGCGUUAGAAUAUUGAGAGGAGCUGCUCCUAGUACGAGAGGACCGAGAAGGACAUACCUCUGGUGUACCAGUUAUCGUGCCAACGGUAAACGCUGGGUAGCUAUGUAUGGAGAGGAUAACCGCUGAAAGCAUCUAAGUGGGAAGCCCACCUCAAGAUAAGUAUUCUCAU
rnacentral:rRNA from 1 species